rnacentral:rRNA from 1 species
AGGAUGAACGCUGGCGGCGUGCCUAAUACAUGCAAGUCGUGCGGUAACAGGAGGAGCUUGCUCCUUGCUGACGAGCGGCGGACGGCUGAGUAACGCGUAGGAACCUACCCCAAGCUGAGGGAUAAGCACCAGAAAUGGUGUCUAAUACCGCAUGUGCUCUACGGAGUAAAGCUUCGGCGGUUUGGGAAGGGCCUGCGUAUGAUUAGCUUGUUGGUGAGGUAAAAGCUCACCAAGGCGACGAUCAUUAGCUGGUCUGAGAGGAUGAUCAGCCAGACUGGGACUGAGAACGGCCCAGACUCCUACGGGAGGCAGCAGUAGGGAAUUUUCCACAAUGGGCGAAAGCCUGAUGGAGCAACGCCGCGUGCAGGAUGAAGGCCUUCGGGUCGUAAACUGUCUUUUAUAUGUGACGAAUAUGACGGUAGCAUAUAGAAUAAGGAUCGGCUAACUCCGUGCC